UUUUAAUGAUGAUAUGAAGAACUUGGUCUGUGUUACUGAAAUAAUAUAGAGAUGAAAAAAAAACGACUGAAAAA
rnacentral:snoRNA from 21 species